AAAGGCGUACAGGCUACCAUGCAAGUCGAGCGGUAGCACAGAGAGCUUGCUCUCGGGUGACGAGCGGCGGACGGGUGAGUAAUGUCUGGGAAACUGCCUGAUGGAGGGGGAUAACUACUGGAAACGGUAGCUAAUACCGCAUAACGUCGCAAGACCAAAGUGGGGGACCUUCGGGCCUCAUGCCAUCAGAUGUGCCCAGAUGGGAUUAGCUAGUAGGUGGGGUAACGGCUCACCUAGGCGACGAUCCCUAGCUGGUCUGAGAGGAUGACCAGCCACACUGGAACUGAGACACGGUCCAGACUCCUACGGGAGGCAGCAGUGGGGAAUAUUGCACAAUGGGCGCAAGCCUGAUGCAGCCAUGCCGCGUGUAUGAAGAAGGCCUUCGGGUUGUAAAGUACUUUCAGCGGGGAGGAAGGCGAUAAGGUUAAUAACCUUGUCGAUUGACGUUACCCGCAGAAGAAGCACCGGCUAACUCCGUGCCAGCAGCCGCGGUAAUACGGAGGGUGCAAGCGUUAAUCGGAAUUACUGGGCGUAAAGCGCACGCAGGCGGUCUGUCAAGUCGGAUGUGAAAUCCCCGGGCUCAACCUGGGAACUGCAUUCGAAACUGGCAGGCUAGAGUCUUGUAGAGGGGGGUAGAAUUCCAGGUGUAGCGGUGAAAUGCGUAGAGAUCUGGAGGAAUACCGGUGGCGAAGGCGGCCCCCUGGACAAAGACUGACGCUCAGGUGCGAAAGCGUGGGGAGCAAACAGGAUUAGAUACCCUGGUAGUCCACGCCGUAAACGAUGUCGAUUUGGAGGUUGUGCCCUUGAGGCGUGGCUUCCGGAGCUAACGCGUUAAAUCGACCGCCUGGGGAGUACGGCCGCAAGGUUAAAACUCAAAUGAAUUGACGGGGGCCCGCACAAGCGGUGGAGCAUGUGGUUUAAUUCGAUGCAACGCGAAGAACCUUACCUGGUCUUGACAUCCACAGAACUUACCAGAGAUGCUUUGGUGCCUUCGGGAACUGUGAGACAGGUGCUGCAUGGCUGUCGUCAGCUCGUGUUGUGAAAUGUUGGGUUAAGUCCCGCAACGAGCGCAACCCUUAUCCUUUGUUGCCACCGGUUCGGCCGGGAACUCAAAGGAGACUGCCAGUGAUAAACUGGAGGAAGGGGGGGAUGACGUCAAGCAUCAUGGCCCUUCCAACCAGGGGUACCCACUGGUUCAAUGGGGUUACAAAAAGAAAAGACUCCCCGAAGCAACGGACUCCUAAAUUAUUGCUUAUUCCGGAUGGGAGUUGGCACUCCCUCCCUGAAGCGGAACGCUUGAAUCUGAAUCAAAAGGACGGGAAUAAGUUCCCGCCUUGUAACCCCCGCCCCCCCCGGAAGGGGUGCAAAAAAAGAGUAACUCCGAGGUACUUGUCGGUUGG
rnacentral:rRNA from 1 species